rnacentral:rRNA from 1 species
UACGAAGGGGGCUAGCGUUGUUCGGAAUUACUGGGCGUAAAGAGCACGUAGGCGGUUUUGUAAAUUAGAAGUGAAAUCCUGGGGCUCAACCUCAGAACUGCUUUUAAGACUGCGAGACUGGAAUCCGGAAGAGGGCAGUGGAAUUCCCAGUGUAGAGGUGAAAUUCGUAGAUAUUGGGAAGAACACCAGUGGCGAAGGCGACUGCCUGGUCCGGUAUUGACGCUGAGGUGCGAAAGCGUGGGGAGCAAACAGG